ensembl:lncRNA
CGGCACAGGACCACCAGUGUGUCUGCGACUGGCCUUGUGCAGGCUCAUGUGUGGACUACCUCUGGCAAACCUGAUGUGGGCCACCAAAGGGCCAUCAUUCUUUGCGGUAUGUGCACCAUGUGUCAGCACAUAGUAUGGGCCAGAUCCGGGCCAUACCAAUUUUGCUAUCUGGGAUCUUUUUCCUUCUGUACACUGAGCAGAAGAGGAGGAGGCAAUGCCUGCAAGACCAUUAAAAAACUGCCAUCAAAGUGAACCAGCACAGGACUCUCAGAUGACCUGCUACACAGCUUUGUUUUUAAAAUUACAAGGCAAAAGAACAUGGAGCAUGUCUUUAUCCUGUUUUCCUUCUCUCACCCCAACUGGUCGCAGCAGAUGGCCGCCCCUCCUUGAGCCUGGUUCUGCCAGAGGUUUCUUCCUGUUAAAAGGGAGUUUUUCCUUCCCACUGUCGCCAAAGUGCUUGCUCAUAGGGGGUCAUUUGAUUGUUGGGCUUUUCUCUGUAUCUAUUAUUGUAGGAUCUACUGUACAAUAUAAAGUGCCUUGAGGCGACUGUUGUUGAGAUUUGGCGCUAUAUAAAUAAAAUUGAAUUGAAUUGAACUGCAUUAUUACAUUGUUGCCAAAAAAUACUGUAAAUGUGAUAUAAACAAUUAUGCCAUUUACCCAUCUUCUUUGUGGCUGGGUCGUGGGGACAGCAGCCUAAGCAAAGAACCCCAGGCCACCUUCUCCCCAGCCACCUCCUGGAUAAAUCCAGGGGAACUCCAGUGUGUCCUUGGUGUGCUCCGGGGCCUUCGCCCUGUGGGACAUGCUCAAAUUGCCUCCUUUCAAUGUGGAGGAGGAGCAGCCACCCUUCGGAAAAAGCUCAUUUCAUGCUUGUAUC